CUUGAGCAUGUAACUUAUAUGAUGUUGUAUUUCAAUUAUAUCUAAGUUAAGCUGAAAAAAUAUCAACAAUGGAAGCAACUUAAUAGUUAGAGAAGACUAAAGAAACAUGACAUGGAAACUCCCUGGUUGGACAGAGAAAAGGUUUUAAAAAUGGAGGAAUUUGAAUAUAGUGCAUAUCAUAGGUUUGAAUUCUAAAAAUAGAAGGUUGGUGAAAGUAAAAUGAGAAGAUUUGGACUAAAAGAAACAAAUGGUUUUAGAGUUGUCCAGAGUGACUUGAGAGAAAAUAUAAAGGAUACAAAUGAAAAGCCAAAUGAAGAGCUAUAUCUAGCAAGACCUAGAAGAGUCCCAAGUGAACACAGGAGCUUCUGUUCCAGAGGAGAUUGGGGUAUGCCAACCUUCCAGCACAGAGAUGCAUUCUUGUUCAGCCUCAGUAAGGUCUCCAAACUCCUUCAGUAGGGUUUUUAUGAA